CUGUUCGCCAUUUAAAGUGGUACGCGAGCUGGGUUUAGAACGUCGUGAGACAGUUCGGUCCCUAUCUGCCGUGGGCGUUGGAAGAUUGAAGGGGGCUGCUCCUAGUACGAGAGGACCGGAGUGGACGAACCUCUGGUGUUCGGGUUGUGUCGCCAGACGCAUUGCCCGGUAGCUAAGUUCGGAAUCGAUAACCGCUGAAAGCAUCUAAGCGGGAAGCGAGCCCUGAGAUGAGUCUUCCCUGAUACUUUAAGUAUCCUAAAGGGUUGUUCGAGACUAGAACGUUGAUAGGCAGGGUGUGUAAGCGUUGUGAGGCGUUGAGCUAACCUGUACUAAUUGCCCGUGAGGCUUAACCAU
rnacentral:rRNA from 1 species